rnacentral:rRNA from 1 species
UACGAAGGGGGGCUAGCGUUGCUCGGAAUCACUGGGCGUAAAGCGUGCGCAGGCGGUUCGCUAAGACAGAUGUGAAAUCCCCGGGCUUAACCCGGUAGGACUCACUUUGUGACUGGCGGGCUAGAGUAUGGCAGAGGGGGGGUAGAAUUCCACGUGUAGCAGUGAAAUGCGUAGAGAUCCGGAAGAACACCAGUGGCGAAGGCGGCCCGCUGGGCAGUGGCUGACGCUGAGGCGCGACAGCGUGGGGGAGCAAACAGG